GAUGAAGAACGCAGCGAAAUGCGAUAAGUAAUGUGAAUUGCAGAAUUCAGUGAAUCAUCGAAUCUUUGAACGCACAUUGCGCCCUUUGGUAUUCCGAAGGGCAUGCCUGUUCGAGCGUCAUUUCACCACUCAAGCCUGGCUUGGUAUUGGGCGCCGCGGUCGAUCCGCGCGCCUCAAAGUCUCCGGCUGAGCUGUCCGUCUCUAAGCGUUGUGAUUUCAUUAAUCGCUUCGGAGUGCGGGCGGCCGCGGCCGUUAAAUCUUUCACAAGGUUGACCUCGGAUCAGGUAGGGAAACCCGCUGAACUUAAGCAUAUCAAUAAGCGGAGGA
rnacentral:misc_RNA from 1 species